AUGCUCUCCUUGCCCCUGAGCUCCUGCAACAACAACAUCAACAACAACGUGUGGUUGUUUGGUUCCACUUGCUGUGUUCAACAGAAACUGACAUCCAACACUGCUAUUCUAAGGUGGUUUAAUGAGGAACAGGAGGAAAUUGUUGUAGAACUGGGAUUAAAGCAUGUAAGAGUGUUGAUGGAUGCGACUCGGAGCAGGCCUCGGCUUGCACCUAAUGUGUGGGCAUAUGCAACUGAAGUUGAUGAAGCAAAGCUGAUGCAAGAUGAUUCUGAAGCAGCGGCAGGUGCAGAGGCUCAUUCGAGGAGCGCCAGUAGGCGACCGAUGCGUUGCUCUCCCGUCGUUCUUUCUUCGUCAGGAAAGGCGCAGCCUGCUACUCAAGCCCCUCUCCUUCGCUCCUUGCAGAGGAGAGGCAUGGGCGCCACCACACUCGGGAGACGAGGACGAGGUGGCCGCCGCUGCACCCCCACGCCGUGGACGCGAAGAGACCCAUCCUCUCUGCCCUCGAUAACCACUUCGGCGGCAGCAGCAAUGGCCUCUUCGUGGCAGGGCAGACCGCAGGGUCGUCUUCCUCUCCGGCCUCUUCCACACCAUCAGAUUCAGGCCCUCUCCCUCUGCAUCUCUGUAAAAAUAUGCUGGCAGCAGAACAAUUUAUCAUGCUUAGCUUGCAAGGUGGUGAUUGCAACCAUGUGCAUGACUCCUUAUGACUCUCAGCAGCAAGACGAUCUCCGGCAACCUAGAGUGUCAGGGUGUUCAAAAUUUUCUUCUUCUAGGAAUGAUUGA
rnacentral:rRNA from 1 species